rnacentral:rRNA from 1 species
AGCGUAGGCGGACAUUUAAGUCAGGGGUGAAAUCCCAGAGCUCAACUCUGGAACUGCCUUUGAUACUGGGUGUCUUGAGUGUGAUAGAGGUAUGUGGAACUCCGAGUGUAGAGGUGAAAUUCGUAGAUAUUCGGAAGAACACCAGUGGCGAAGGCGACAUACUGGAUCAUUACUGACGCUGAGGCUCGAAAGCGUGGGGAGCAAACAGGAUUAGAUACCCUGGUAGUCCACGCCGUAAACGAUGAUUGCUAGUUGUCGGGAUGUUUACAUCUCGGUGACGCAGCUAACGCAUUAAGCAAUCCGCCUGGGGAGUACGGUCGCAAGAUUAAA